rnacentral:lncRNA from 1 species
GUGUAGUGUUAGGGCAAAAACUUAAAUGUGCACCCCUUUGGGUCCCCAGGACCAGGAUUGAGAGAGACUGGGUCUGAGUAGUGAUUAAAUGGUUCAGUCCGUAGGUCAGAGAGACUGGGUCUGAGUAGUGAUUAAAUGGUUCAGUCCAUAGGUUAGAGAGACUGGGUCUGGGUAGUGAUUAAAUGGUUCAGUCCAUAGGUUAGAGAGACUGGGUCUGGGUAGUGAUUAAAUGGUUCAGUCCAUAGGUUAGAGAGACUGGAUAGUGUAUAUGGAUUUUCACUGAUUUAACAAGUAAUGGUUAAACAAUCCGCCAAACUUUAAUACAAAAAUAUGGUCAUAAGAAUUGAUUAUAAAAGCAUUGCACAAGAUUAUAAAAGCAUUGCACAAGAAUAGUCAUAUUCUUAUAUAAACAGUCUCUCUGAUAACAAACCACUGUUUACUGUAUUGUGAUAUAUGUUUUAAAGGCAAGUCAAAUCCAUUGUUUUUUUUAGAGGCAGUUGCAUGAUGACCAAUGUGUAAAGCCUAAUCGUGUUAUAAUCACAUUAUAAUAUUCAUAAGAGAAAAUCCCUCCACAUCUGUCACAUAGCAAAUCCUAUUGCCUCUAAUGACAAUGAAAGAUGACAUUCCCUUGGAGGUCAAUAGUGAUCAGGUCUCCACGUGAAAUUGUGUGACUGCCUUUGUAAGGACACCUUUCUUUCUUACUGUGUGGAGUUCCCUAUUGGUCCAUGCAAUAUUCUGAGGUCUCCCAAUUGGUCCAUACGAUGUUCCAAGUUCCCCAUUGGUCCAUACAAUAUUCCAAGUUCCCCAUUGGUUCAUAUGACAUUCAGAGAUCCCCAUUGGUCCAUGUGAUAUUCAGGGUUGGUCCAUACGAUGUUCCAAGUUCCCCAUUGGACCAUAUAUGAUAUUCAAUGUACCCCAUUGGUCCAUACGAUAUUCAGAUACCUGAUUUAUGUGGUCCAUGUGUAACCAGGCCAGUGCAGCACAGCCCUGCGGCUCGGCUUUGUAAUAGUGUUUCAGUAGUGUUUAAUUGGUAAGAGUUGCCUAUCCUCCCUGGGGCCAUCUGUGUUUCCCCAGCCAGACCCAUACUGUACAUAUAGCUGUGUUUCCCCAGCCAGACCCAUACUGUACAUAUAGCUGUGUUUCCCCAGCCAGACCCAU